UCUUACUUUUUCAUUUCUUCUUCCUCGUUCUUCUGCCGAGCGACCCACAGAGACAGUAAUAGAGAGAGUGUGAGAAAUCGAGUGAGAGAGAGAUGCGAGAGAGUGGGAGAUAAGGGAUUGAGAGGGAGACCGAGAGAUGCUGAGAGAGAGAUGAGAUCGGGAGACUUGAGGGAGAUGGAGUCCGAUCCCCCUAUGGGUGGCGCCGACGAGACCAGAGGACGCCGGCGACGCGAUCUCCGGUGAGCCCGUGAACCAGAGAUGACCCGGGAGAGAAAGAACCCGAAACCCGUAGAAACCGUGACCCACGACCCGUGAGGACCCGAUCCUCCAUGAUCCGCGACUGGGACUGAAAUCCGGCGAUGGAGGAGCUCCGGCGGAAUCCGAGGGCUUGAACCCGCGACCCGUGAGCCCAGAAAACCCGAGGACCAGUGACCGUGACCCGUGCGACCCGUGACCCGCCUGACCCGAGAAGAAAACCCGGUUCUCUAUGGGUGUUUCUCGGCGACUGUCAGUGGUGUUUUCCGGCGGUCCAGUAGCGAUUUCCGAUGGAUUUUCUAGGAAAAUCCUCUAGGAUCAUGUUCAGAUUGGAGACUUUAAUUGGUUCUCCAAUGUAGAGUCCAAGUGACUAGAGUCCAAGGAGUGUUCGAGUUGGAGUCUAAUGCAGCCAAGAUGAUGUUUCUUUGGCUGCAGGUACUACGGUAUAAUCGAUGGGUCGGUAGCAGUGUGCUUGAGAUAUUAUGACUGAAGCUCACCGCGACGGUUGUAAUUGUCGGACCACGGGUUGUCCACUGUUUUAUAGGUUUGGUAUAGCUUGUGACGUUUGUGUCACAUAUUCUUUGUAAAGCUAUAGUAGUUUUGUAAAUAAUGUGUUAAUAAGACUCAUACAGAUAGAUGUUAAAUGGCUCUUUGUGGUAAUUAAUUUGUAAUAGAUGUAUAAGUUGUAAUUUUCGCUGUUCAGAUUUAUGUUUUCCGCUGCAUAGAUAGAUGUAUGUUAUACUCUGAUUAUCAGGUACAUGUUAUGGGGCAUGUGUCAUAUGU